AAAGUCGUAACAAGGUUUCCGUAGGUGAACCUGCGGAAGGAUCAUUAUCCUAACAAAACUCUUUGCGCAAGCGAAGUUUUAAACCCUUUGUGAACCAAAAAAUCUUAUUAGCUUCGGUAGCCUUGUAGUGGUGUCACAGCCGUUGCAUGUCAGCCUGCCGGUAGCAACCAAACCAAACUCUUAUUUUAAAUCUAGUCUGAAUCCAAAUUUUCGAAUGAAAAUUAAAACUUUCAACAACGGAUCUCUUGGUUCUC
rnacentral:misc_RNA from 1 species